rnacentral:lncRNA from 1 species
AGAGGUAAAAUGGCCGGGCUGUUUUGCCACACACUAGAUAAUGCUGUUUACUUUAUUACAGUGAAGUAAACCUCGACCUGGGUCCUGCUCCAACACACAUGAGCUGUGUGAGCUCAAAGCUGGUGGUGUCAUCUAUCAGUUUCUGUCUGUCUUUCCCUUGUAUAAAAUGAGGACCCUAUGAGGAAGCGUCCAUGAGGUCUCAUUCCCCAAAUAAUUAACCUAUAAAGUCAGCUUGCCUGCAAAGAACAAGGGAAAACAUCAAAGAGCAACACUAGUCCUGCGACUUCCUAGCCGGCAAUCUUUCUUUAUGCUUCGAGGAACGCCUAGCACCUUGAGGAGAGCUCAGAAAUCACCUCAGGAGAACGGAGGAGAGAACUAAUGACCAUCCAGUGCCCACCUGGCUGGAGCUAAAAUUAGAUUUCCCAGAACCCCCAUGGAAGUGCUUGCACCUGAGACUCCUGGUGAGCUGGACCCUGGGUGGGAGCCUCCAUCUCCCACCUGCCAGCUGAUUGACAAUAAAGUUCUUUCUCAGGGCUGGGGUUUUAGCCCAGUGGUUCUGUCACCUGCCUCAGAAGCUCAACGUCCUGAGAUCAAUCUCCAGUACCCCCCCACAAAAAUAAAGGAAAUGAAACGAAACGAAAACAAAUAGCUCUUUCUCCUUCUGUCACUCUGUCACUCAGGUAACUGGCUUCACUGGGUAGCGAUGAAACUGAACCUGUCAUGGUUACAGGCACAGUGAAGAUGUAAUGCAAGAAAAAGUCUCAAUGGCUACAGUCUGAGUUUCACUCAGAUGGCUUAUCGUGCUUUGGACUUCACUAUCUGGACUUCAGUAUUUCUGCACAUGUAAAAGUGACCUCCUGCUGGGCUAAGGUUGUUUUGCAGCUGCAAUCAGAUAACCUGAAAAUAUAUCAAUAUAUGCUUCCUGUCUCUGUGCCCCUUGAAGAAGGACACUUGGCCUUGGUCCCACUAACUCCCAGGUAUUCAGGACAGUGCCGGGAAGUGAUUGGAGACUCAAUGAUUUGUCGGCAGAAAGAAUGUAAUACCUCCAUGCAUCUGAAAGAACAGAUUUCCCAGCAUGCCCUCUGGGCUAUGCUGCUCAAUCCACAGAGGUACAUGCCCUGUCCGCAUAGCUCUGGAGCUGAAGACGUGGGGAAAACAACCAUGGUCAGCCUGAAGUUCAUACAGAUGCCUUCGAGAGCUCAGGGGUCACGUAGAGGAAGAAGGAAAAGCUGUGUCGGGGGCCAGCAAUGAGACGGCUGGGGGAAACCCAAGAAAGCCUGUAGUUCUUGUCUGAUUUAAAAUUAAGCAGCACCGUGAAAAGGAAGGUAGAAAUGCCAGUCAGGGCAAACUAUUUUCAGGCAUCAAAUUUUCUGAAGAGAUCUAAAGCAAGGGCUGGGGAUGUAGCUCAGAGGUAGAGUGCUUGCCUAGCAUUUGGGGCCCUGGGUUCCAUCAAAAGAGAGAGACAGAGAGACAGGGGAGAGAGAGAGAGAAAGAGAGAGAGAGAGAGAGAGAGAGAGAGAGAGAGAGAGGCAGAGACAGAGAGGGAGAGACUAAUGCGUACCAGCUAAUAAAUUUACUAAGUUUUCUAGGUCUUAUUAUUAUUAAGCUUGGUGAGGAGAAAAAAUACAAUGUCAUAUUGCACCUAAAGAUGCAUCUCAAGGUCCUAGAAAGACAAGAACAAUGCAAAUAUGAAACUAACAGAAGGGAAAAAGUGUGAAGAUCACAGCCGAAAGGAAUGAAAUUGAGACUAAAAAUGUGAUACAAAGAUUCAGUGAAUCUGAGUUGGUUCUCUGAAAGGAUGGGAAGGGGAUCUGGGGUUGGGGGAGAUGGGAGGGAGAGGAAGGGAAGGGGAAGUAAGAAGGAUUGAGGUGUGAUAUGUAUAUGUACCCGUUUCCCCACAGUGAGUGCAUUUACUAUACUAAUACAAAAGACUGAAAAGAAAGGAAAGAAAGAAAGAAAAAGCAAGCAGGGAAGGAAACCGCCUCAUGCUCACAGGGAUGUGUUCUAAUUUGCAUCUUAGGUCCUUGAUGACAUUGCAGGAAUGAAAGGGGAGGGAAAAGGAAGGGAAGGG